AAAUUGAAGAGUUUGAUCAUGGCUCAGAUUGAACGCUGGCGGCAGGCCUAACACAUGCAAGUCGAACGGUAACAGGAAGCAGCUUGCUGCUUUGCUGACGAGUGGCGGACGGGUGAGUAAUGUCUGGGAAACUGCCUGAUGGAGGGGGAUAACUACUGGAAACGGUAGCUAAUACCGCAUAACGUCGCAAGACCAAAGAGGGGGACCUUAGGGCCUCUUGCCAUCGGAUGUGCCCAGAUGGGAUUAGCUAGUAGGUGGGGUAACGGCUCACCUAGGCGACGAUCCCUAGCUGGUCUGAGAGGAUGACCAGCCACACUGGAACUGAGACACGGUCCAGACUCCUACGGGAGGCAGCAGUGGGGAAUAUUGCACAAUGGGCGCAAGCCUGAUGCAGCCAUGCCGCGUGUAUGAAGAAGGCCUUCGGGUUGUAAAGUACUUUCAGCGGGGAGGAAGGGAGUAAAGUUAAUACCUUUGCUCAUUGACGUUACCCGCAGAAGAAGCACCGGCUAACUCCGUGCCAGCAGCCGCGGUAAUACGGAGGGUGCAAGCGUUAAUCGGAAUUACUGGGCGUAAAGCGCACGCAGGCGGUUUGUUAAGUCAGAUGUGAAAUCCCCGGGCUCAACCUGGGAACUGCAUCUGAUACUGGCAAGCUUGAGUCUCGUAGAGGGGGGUAGAAUUCCAGGUGUAGCGGUGAAAUGCGUAGAGAUCUGGAGGAAUACCGGUGGCGAAGGCGGCCCCCUGGACGAAGACUGACGCUCAGGUGCGAAAGCGUGGGGAGCAAACAGGAUUAGAUACCCUGGUAGUCCACGCCGUAAACGAUGUCGACUUGGAGGUUGUGCCCUUGAGGCGUGGCUUCCGGAGCUAACACGUUAAGUCGACCGCCUGGGGAGUACGGCCGCAAGGUUAAAACUCAAAUGAAUUGACGGGGGCCCGCACAAGCGGUGGAGCAUGUGGUUUAAUUCGAUGCAACGCGAAGAACCUUACCUGGUCUUGACAUCCACGGAAGUUUUCAGAGAUGAGAAUGUGCCUUCGGGAACCGUGAGACAGGUGCUGCAUGGCUGUCGUCAGCUCGUGUUGUGAAAUGUUGGGUUAAGUCCCGCAACGAGCGCAACCCUUAUCCUUUGUUGCCAGCGGUCCGGCCGGGAACUCAAAGGAGACUGCCAGUGAUAAACUGGAGGAAGGUGGGGAUGACGUCAAGUCAUCAUGGCCCUUACGACCAGGGCUACACACGUGCUACAAUGGCGCAUACAAAGAGAAGCGACCUCGCGAGAGCAAGCGGACCUCAUAAAGUGCGUCGUAGUCCGGAUUGGAGUCUGCAACUCGACUCCAUGAAGUCGGAAUCGCUAGUAAUCGUGGAUCAGAAUGCCACGGUGAAUACGUUCCCGGGCCUUGUACACACCGCCCGUCACACCAUGGGAGUGGGUUGCAAAAGAAGUAGGUAGCUUAACCUUCGGGAGGGCGCUUACCACUUUGUGAUUCAUGACUGGGGUGAAGUCGUAACAAGGUAACCGUAGGGGAACCUGCGGUUGGAUCACCUCCUUA
rnacentral:rRNA from 1 species